rnacentral:misc_RNA from 1 species
UGUGGGAGCUGGCUUGCCUGCGAUAGCGGUGGUUCAGUUGACUCAUUAGUGACUGACACACCGCCAUCGCAGGCAAGCCAGCUCCCACA